CCUACGGGAGGCAGCAGUGAGGAAUAUUGGUCAAUGGACGAGAGUCUGAACCAGCCAAGUAGCGUGAAGGAUGACUGCCCUAUGGGUUGUAAACUUCGUUUAUAAAGGAAUAAAACGAGGCAAGUGUGCCUUUUUGCAUGUACUGUAUGAAUAAGGAUAGGCUAACUCCGUGCCAGCAGCCUCGGUAAUACGGAGGAUCCGAGCGUUAUCCGGAUUUAAUGGGUUUAAAGGGAGCGUAGAUGGGUUGUUAAGUCAGUUGUGAAAGUUUGCGGCUCAACCGUAAAAUUGCCAUUGAUACUGGCAGUCUUGCGUACAGUUGCGGUCGGCGGAUUUCGUGGUGUAGCGGUUAAAUGCUUAGAUCUC
rnacentral:rRNA from 1 species